GAGAACUCGGAGCGGGCUGUCAGCACUGCCCCUGGGGGCGGCAGAGGGGAGAGCGGGGAGGGCGGUCGGUGUCCAGUUCCUGCGUGCACUCCUGCGUCUUGGCUUGUCACAAUGAGUGUGUGUUACUGUUUUAAUCUGAGGGAGAAAAGGAGAAAAUGGCUCCUCAGUGUGGCUGGUGCUGGCUGAAUCUCUGGUGCCCUGGGGGAGUUUGGAGAGUUUUCCGGAUUCUGUCCGAAGCCUUUGAAGAUGGGUCCUGGGACUGUGCUGCUCUCGUCACCGGCAGUCACAAGAACGCUGGCCUCUCUGCAGGACUCACGUCCGUCCUCCCAACGCUGGCCAGUUUGGCAGCUCCCUCCAGGAUCCAGGCCCUCCCUGGUCCGGGUUGUCUCGCUCUGUGUCACCUUGCAGCAAGCACCUUCAUCCACCUGCCCCGUCUCCUCAUUGGCCAAGGGCGCUAGAGGGGUGGUCCCCACCUGCACGUCGUCACAGGUGAGCAUCCUGGGCCUGGAGCAGAGACAG
rnacentral:lncRNA from 1 species